rnacentral:tRNA from 1 species
GUGGCCUUGGGCGAGGGCGGGGCCGCGGCGGUGGUGCCGCCGAGACUGACCCCGCCUGUCCAGGAACCGGCGGGCUCCG